CUCUGAGUAGGAAAGUCUUAAUGGAGAGGAAUAUGAUCAUGCAAGAGAAGUAGGUCCCUGCAGCUGAGUGGCAAGUCUGGAGCCUAGGACAGCAGAUCCCUGGAAGAGGGUUAUGGCUCAUGGAUUCUAGCAACUGUUAUGUCUACUAUCUGUAAUCAUCUAACCCUGUCUCUGCACCUGGAAGUAAAAGAAUUCAGCAUUAUGUGA
rnacentral:lncRNA from 1 species